AACGAACGCUGGCGGCAGGCCUAGCACAUGCAAGUCGAGCGCGCCCUUCGGGGUGAGCGGCGGACGGGGGGGUAACGCGUGGGAAGUAACCCUUUUGUACGGAAUCGCCGCGUGAAACUGAGAGUAAUACCACAUACGCUCUUACGGGGUAGGAUUUCUCGGCACAGGAUCGGGCCUGGUUGGAUUAGGUGGUUGGGGGGGCAAUGGCCGACCAAGCCGACGAUCCAUAGCUGGUGUGAGAGGAUGGUCAGCCGCACUGGGACUGAGCCCCGGCCCAGACUCCUGCGGGAGGCAGCAGUGGGGAAUCUUAGACAAUGGGCGCAACCCUGAUCUGGCCCUGCCGCGUGAGUGAUGAAGGCCUUAGGGUUGGAAAGCUCUUUCAGCUGGGCAGAUAAUGCCGGUACCAGCAGAAGAAGCCCCGGCUAACUCCGUG
rnacentral:rRNA from 1 species